UACAGAGGGUGCGAGCGUUGUUCGGACUUAUUGGGCGUAAAGCGCAUGUAGGCGGGUUGUUAAGUCGCGUGUGAAAGCCCCAGGCUCAACCUGGGAAGUGCGCGCGAAACUGACGACCUUGAGUGCUGGAGAGGGUGGCGGAAUUCCCGGUGUAGAGGUGAAAUUCGUAGAUAUUGGGAAGAACACCGGUGGCGAAGGCGGCGAGCUGGUCCAUUACUGACGCUGAGGCGCGACAGCGUGGGGAGCAAACAGG
rnacentral:rRNA from 1 species